UGUCCAAGCCUCUAGGCACCACUGCA
rnacentral:piRNA from 1 species